rnacentral:misc_RNA from 1 species
GAUGAAGAACGUAGCGAAAUGCGAUAAUUAAUGUGAAUUGCAGAAUUUAGUGAAUCAUCGAAUCUUUGAACGCACAUUGCGCCCCCUGGUAUUCCGGGGGGCAUGCCUGUCCGAGCGUCAUUGCUGCCCUCAAGCACGGCUUGUGUGUUGGGCUCCGUCCCCCCGGGGACGGGCCCGAAAGGCAGCGGCGGCACCGAGUCCGGUCCUCGAGCGUAUGGGGCUUUGUCACCCGCUCUGUAGGCCCGGCCGGCGCCAGCCGACAACCCAUCAUCCUUUUCAGGUUGACCUCGGAUCAGGUAGGGAUACCCGCUGAACUUAAGCAUAUCAAUAAGCGGAGGA